rnacentral:lncRNA from 12 species
CCUGCCCCGGGUGCCUGCGGCUCCCACCCCACCUGCUCCCCGUCAGAUGGGAGCUGACCCCCACAAAGGCCUGGGCCGCGUCUGCCACCCUUGGGCUUUGCCCUGACACGUGUCACCUUAACCUCUUCCUCGGGACCAGCUGCUGCCAGGGGACCCUCCUUUGUGGCCCCGGCGGGCGGCAGACGAGUGUCCCCAUCUGGCCGGCGAGGGCUCGUCUGUUGGAGACCCCUGCCCUGGCUGAUAAUGGCAUUAACCCCACCCUGCCCCGUUCCCACCCCCUCAACUGUCACCGAGAGCCCCAGGUCCCAGGCUGGGGACAGACUGCGUCCCACAGGGACUCAGCACAUCCUGGCACCUCAGAGGGAUCCGGGGAUCCCUGGCUGCACCUCUGACCCUGCCUGAGGGUAUCCCGAGCAUCCCUUCCUGCACCUCCAGCCUCCUCUGUCUGCAGCAUCGGGGCAGGACAAGGCAGGACGAGGAAUUUGCCUCCAGGGGCUUCAAAAAUUCCCGCACACCUGUGACUGCAGGUGGGAGUUUCUUGGAAAGCUGGUGUGGAGCAGGCAUUGGAGCAAACGCUGACCUUGGCAUCAUGCCCUUGCCCACUUGUCUCCCCAUCCCUGGUGCAGGAAGUUCCAGGCAGAGCAGCUGGCAGAGCGGAUUUUUUUCUCUAACACCCUCAAGAGCUUGGGGAGAAAAAGGGAAAUAUUCUCUCCUCUGUUGAUCUGAGCAUGAAUUGCAGCCACAGCCAGGAGGGGUGAUAGUGUGGAGCUUCCCCUGCCCAGCCUGUGCUCCAAGCCUUUAGAAAGAUGGAUACAGACGAUGCCAGGACUGGCCCAGGGCACCAUGGCCACAUGGUGCAUGAACCAAGGUGUGCUCUGUGCUCAUGGUGAGGUGUUCCUCACAGGGAACCGUGCCUGUCAGGAAGGGCUGGAGCAGAAGAAGGAACCAAGGAAUAAGACCAGAAAGUCAUGUUGGCUUGGUUUUCCCUAGGAUCCUCAGAAAAAAAUUGUGUCAGCAGUGACUAAGCUCCUGGAGGUAUGUGAAAUCAUAAUUGAAGAAUGUUGAGAAAACAGCAAAAUCCCACAUUUUAAAAAACUUGUGGGGGAAAAAUUUCCC